AUCAAUAUGGCUUCUUGUAGGCUACUUUAGGAAGACUAAAAGGUCACUGAAUUUUCCAGGAUCAUUACAGAAAAAUCUAAGGCCUAGCAAAAAAACAACAGAGGAUUUUGGAUGCUGAGGUAUAAACUGAAGUCUAGGUUGUUGUGCCUGUCCCUUGUUUGGACAUUAGGAAGCAUAACAAGUCUACUGGGUCCUGUUCCUUUAAUUUAAAAUUAAAUGAACACUGCAAAGAGGUUUUAGCUUUGGAGAGCCUCAAACAGGUUCAUGCGAGCAGUAUGAGUCUAUUCGUGUAAGUGUACUGACCCCUAGUGACUGUAUCACUACUUAAAUAAUUUACAAAGAAAAGUUUAUUUAAUUUUAAAUAAAACCUCCCUAUACAGGAGAAUUUCUAUCAAGAAAUAUCUUCACUGGAAAGAAACUGUAAAAUAUCCCUCUUACUUGAGAUGCACAUUGACAUAUUAAUUGUAUAGCUUAUUUAAAAAUUGAGUGUGGCAUAGAUCUUGGGAGUUACUGGUUUUAAUUUAGCCAAGUAAGGUUGCUCAUGAAUGCAGCAUUUCAGGUUGGGAGCUUGGCAGGCUUAAUAAAAUAGAGGU